rnacentral:lncRNA from 1 species
CAAGACCUCACAGGAGAGCUUCUCCCCAGUCCCUCGGAAGACUGAGGCUAACAUGUACCUUGUUCCUGCAGCUCUCCAAUGGGACCAAGGGGCACAGCACUGAGCACAAAACAGAGCUCUCCUACUGCAUGCUGCUGCUAGGUAAGGAGCAGCAGGCAGCCUUUGGCUGUGGUUUCUGUGUAGCUCUCCUGCAAGCCUCUGCAACGUGAGAAGAGAUUGACUGGUAACCCACAGCAUGAUUUCUUCCCUCCAGCCCGACGUUUCCCUGACGACACCAUGCAGUUUCUCUACUCCCAACUGCAGAUUGAGAACGAGGCUUGCAGAGCAACAUCCCUGUAUCUGCUCAGAUCUUUGCUUCGCUGUGACUGUAAGCAACACCAGGAAGAAAGCGUGAGCAACGCUGUGGGUUCCACCGCACACUGAAUGUGGCCCGAGCUCCUUCCCGUGGUUCCAGUGGGAAAGGGCACUCCACUGGUGAUGCACACACAUGCCUAAGUGCUUACAAAGGCUAGGCCCGCACCCACCCCUCCCCGCCAGGUGAACCGUAUUGUAUCGAAGCCAGCUGAAGAAUGUGUCUGGGUAGUUAGAAAGCACGCUGCCCCAGGGAUGCCGUUUUCAGCUCAGUAGCAAUCCGAGCACAAACAGCAGCCAAUUCCAGUGCAGAUCGCCUUUCUCUGACUCCCUGGGUUAGGCAAUCCCUGUCAAGUAGCUGCGUCUGUAGCAGGGGAGUUGCUUGCGGCUUCUGCUGCUUCCACUGAAGGCAGAGACUUUUGCCCUGUGCUUUCUGUCUGUCCAGUUGUGUAUGAGAAAACGGGGACGCUUGGGCCAUGUUGUUUUUGAGAGGGGGCUCUGCCGCAAUGUACCUGUAUUUCUUUCAGCCCUGACGAUAAGAAAGGAAAUGUGCCUGGUGGUGAAGGCGGUGGAAUCUGUGUGUGGAGACCACCGGAGGAAGGUGAAAGCUGCCGUCCUCUCCUUCAUCAAGGAACUGUUCCGCUCUGGCGUCGACGACUGUUCAGCAUGGGGUCUGGUGGCCUAUAUUUUCCAGGAGUUCAGUCGGGCCACCAGCAGACUGGUAAGAGGGGAACAACUUGGCAUUGUGCACUUUGUUCGGUGCCCUGGGUAUGUUGACCGCUGCGGCGGACUUCACAGAGGAUGCGCAGGCCCUCAAGCAGCAGGGCUUGAGUCGCGGGGCUCAUGAACUUCCUGGCACCCAAACGGACAUGCG